AGUGAACGCUGGCGGUAGGCUUAACACAUGCAAGUCGAACGGCAGCACAGGAGAGCUUGCUCUCUGGGUGGCGAGUGGCGGACGGGUGGGGAAUACAUCGGAAUCUACUCUGUCGUGGGGGAUAACGUAGGGAAACUUACGCUAAUACCGCAUACGACCUACGGGUGAAAGCAGGGGACCUUCGGGCCUUGCGCGAUUGAAUGAGCCGAUGUCGGAUUAGCUAGUUGGCGGGGUAAAGGCCCACCAAGGCGACGAUCCGUAGCUGGUCUGAGAGGAUGAGCAGCCACACUGGAACUGAGACACGGUCCAGACUCCUACGGGAGGCAGCAGUGGGGAAUAUUGGACAAUGGGCGCAAGCCUGAUCCAGCCAUACCGCGUGGGUGAAGAAGGCCUUCGGGUUGUAAAGCCCUUUUGUUGGGAAAGAAAUCCAGCUGGCUAAUACCCGGUUGGGAUGACGGUACCCAAAGAAUAAGCACCGGCUAACUUCGUGCCAGCAGCCGCGGUAA
rnacentral:rRNA from 1 species